rnacentral:lncRNA from 1 species
AGAAACUUCAUCUGCAUUGGCUUCGGCAAAGCAGAAAUUUAUUAGCUUACAAGGGAGAGUGGAUUGUCAUUGAGACAUAUGUUCUGCUUACGUGGAGAGUAACUUGAGCAACGUUACCCACCUCUAUGUGGAAACACAGGUUUAUUUAGUAUGUUGAAAUUCCAGACAUAACUAUCUGUUCAGUAGCAGUGGUUCCUAUAAGACAACAACUUCACUGUUCAUUUUGUGCUAGUAGAAUGGAACUUCACGGACCUUGGAGAAGCAUACUCCAAACACUACAAAUGAUGGUUAUACUUUGGAGAGAUGCUAAGACAGCAGAUGCUAAAAUCCAGAUACCUUUUGUGAAUAUGAGGCAUAUCUACUGGGAACACAUCAUAAUAAUCUGUUGAGGUAAACAUUAAAGAUGGUGGCAAUAAGCAGUUGGAGAAAAAGAAAAAUAUCAACAUGCAAGGCACCAUUGUUUUCUUGCUUCUUAAUUGUAACUUUUUAUUUUUUGUGUAUAUGGCUAUCACAGAGAUUUAAAAA